rnacentral:tRNA from 1 species
AAGGGAAUCGGUAUAGAAAUAGCUGCUAACUAAUUUCUAAAGCGGUUAGACUCCGUUUUUCCCUUA